CCUACGGGAGGCAGCAGUAGGGAAUAUUGCUCAAUGGGGGAAACACUGAAGCAGCCAAGCCGCGUGGAGGAUGAAGGUUUUCGGAUUGUAAACUCCUUUUGUUCGAGAAGAAAAUGACGGUAUCUAACGAAUAAGCACCGGCUAACUCCGUGCCAGCAGCCGCGGUACUACGGAGGGUGCAAGCGUUAUACGGAAUAACUGGGCGUAAUGAGCGCGUAGGCGGGAUAGCAAGUCAGAUGUGAAAUCCUAUGGCUUAACCAUAGAACUGCAUUUGAAACUGUUAUUCUAGAGUAUGGGAGAGGUAGGUGGAAUUCGUGGUGUAGGGGUAAAAUCCGUAGAGAUCAAGAGGAAUACUCAUUGCGAAGGCGACCUGCUAGAACAUAACUGACGCUGAUGCGCGAAAGCGUGGGUAUCAAACAGGAUUAGAUACCCUUGUAGUC
rnacentral:rRNA from 1 species